GAUGAACGAUGGCGGCGUGCCUAAUACAUGCAAGUCGAGCGAGCAGACGAGGAGCUUGCUCCUCUGACGUUAGCGGCGGACGGGUGAGUAACACGUGGAUAACCUACCUAUAAGACUGGGAUAACUUCGGGAAACCGGAGCUAAUACCGGAUAAUAUAUUGAACCGCAUGGUUCAAUAGUGAAAGACGGUUUUGCUGUCACUUAUAGAUGGAUCCGCGCCGCAUUAGCUAGUUGGUAAGGUAACGGCUUACCAAGGCAACGAUGCGUAGCCGACCUGAGAGGGUGAUCGGCCACACUGGAACUGAGACACGGUCCAGACUCCUACGGGAGGCAGCAGUAGGGAAUCUUCCGCAAUGGGCGAAAGCCUGACGGAGCAACGCCGCGUGAGUGAUGAAGGUCUUCGGAUCGUAAAACUCUGUUAUUAGGGAAGAACAAAUGUGUAAGUAACUAUGCACGUCUUGACGGUACCUAAUCAGAAAGCCACGGCUAACUACGUG
rnacentral:rRNA from 1 species